UGCGUAGGUGGUUUGAUAAGUUAUCUGUGAAAGCCCUGGGCUUAACCUGGGAAGGCCAGAUAAGACUGUGAGACUAGAGUAUAGGAGAGGGUAGUGGAAUUUCCGGUGUAGCGGUGAAAUGCGUAGAGAUCGGAAGGAACACCAGUGGCGAAGGCGGCUACCUGGCCUAAUACUGACACUGAGGCACGAAAGCGUGGGGAGCAAACA
rnacentral:rRNA from 1 species